rnacentral:rRNA from 1 species
AAGAAACCAACAGGGAUUACCUCAGUAACGGCGAGUGAAGCGGUAACAGCUCAAAUUUGAAAUCUGGCUCUUUCAGGGUCCGAGUUGUAAUUUGUAGACGAUGCUUUGGGUGUGGUGCCGGUCUAAGUUCCUUGGAACAGGACGUCAUAGAGGGUGAGAAUCCCGUAUGUGAUCGGUCGCCUUCGCCCGUGUAAAGCUCGUUCGACGAGUCGAGUUGUUUGGGAAUGCAGCUCAAAAUGGGUGGUAAAUUUCAUCUAAAGCUAAAUAUUGGCCAGAGACCGAUAGCGCACAAGUAGAGUGAUCGAAAGAUGAAAAGCACUUUGGAAAGAGAGUUAAACAGUACGUGAAAUUGUUGAAAGGGAAGCGCUUGCAACCAGACUUGGGCUGUCGCAAUCAUCCGGGGCUCGCCCCCGGUGCACUUGUGGCGGCACAGGCCAGCAUCAGUUUCGGUGGUGGGAUAAAGGCCUUGGGAAUGUAGCUUCUUUCGGGGAGUGUUAUAGCCCUCGGUGCAAUGCCGCCUACCGGGACUGAGGACCGCGCUUCGGCUAGGAUGCUGGCGUAAUGGUUGUAAGCGACCCGUCUUGAAACACGGACCAAGGAGUCUAACAUCUAUGCGAGUGUUUGGGUGUCAAACCCAUACGCGUAAUGAAAGUGAACGGAGGUGAGAACCCGUUAGGGUGCAUCAUCGACCGAUCCUGAUGUCUUCGGAUGGAUUUGAGUAAGAGCAUAGCUGUUGGGACCCGAAAGAUGGUGAACUAUGCCUAAAUAGGGUGAAGCCAGAGGAAACUCUGGUGGAGGCUCGCAGCGGUUCUGACGUGCAAAUCGAUCGUCAAAUUUGGGUAUAGGGGCGAAAGACUAAUCGAACCAUCUAGUAGCUGGUUCCUGCCGAAGUUCC